UGCCUGCACAGCAUGCAGAGGAGGAGGCCCAGAGACAUGCAAAGCCAGCUUCAAAGAAUGGGUGCCCUGGAAUUUAACCUGAGGCACCCUGAAGGUACCUGGUUCUGAUUUCAAGGUGCUGCCAGGGGAAGGAGCCCUGUCUGGUGAGCUGACAGAUUUCGUCCCAGCUGUCUUUAGGAAGUGGCAGUCAGGAAGGAAAGAAGGAAAGGGUUUGCUGGGAAGAGCUGCCAUUUCCCAAACGGGGCUGGAGCAUCAGGGAAGGCAGCACAUGUAGGGCAGAUGGAAAGGAGCUUAAGGAACUGAAAUCUCGCCAGCCCCUUCCUGGAACUCCAGAGACUGAGAUGAGCAAGGAGGCACAUGUGAGCUACAGAUCCAUCAGAGACAGACCAUUCUGCGAUGCACUGCCAGGGCUCACUCCAGUGACUCCCAGGGUUCAAAGAGACUGUGGCUGGACAUGGGCCAAGGCUUCUAAAGCAAAGGCAGCACCGAGAGGGUUAAAAGUUUGCAUCAUGCUACUCUCUCGCAGAAGGGUGGUGUCCCCUGUCUAAAUGAGUGUGCUGAUGGGCUUCAAGCAAGAUUUCUUAGUUCACAGAGGAAAGAUCUGAAGACAAAUCUGAAGUCAACCUGCUGCCUACCAAAUACUAACUGGCUGUUCUGAAAAACAAGAAUAACGCCUGAGGCCAAAUGGCACUGAUGAGGAACAUACAUAGAAGAUAAAGACUGAAGACCAGCAGACUAAGGCAACGUCAACCCGACAACAGCGGCUGCCAAUCCAGUCUGCAGUUCCUGCUGCCCGUCUCCAGGCAUUUCUUCUUAAGCUUCUUUCUGACAUCUGACCACAUGUACCUCCCUUUCUCUGUCUGAAGACAUUGGGAGCCAUAGUGGUGAGGGUAAAUUCAACCCUGUCUCUGUCCUCUGGACAUACAAGAUCUUCUUCAAUUGCCUCCUAACUGCCAUUUAUAUGUAUAACUUGCCUGUGGUUUGUUGUGGUCUUCCUUGGCCUGAGGCCUGGCAUCAUACGACAGUUCUGCAAACUCUCAGCCAUGGCCCUUUCCAAAAGGCCUCCUACUCCUCUUCCCCUGCAGCUCCCAGUGUCAGCUGCACACCUCUGUAUACCACUGUUUGCGCAUCACUUCACAGUCUCCACCUCUGUCUCUCUGGAUCUACUACUCUAGUCUAAACUGGAAGUCUCAGCAGCUGUUUCUGCUGCUCUCACUCGGGCUUCAAGAGUUUGUGGGUUCCGGUGGUGAGCUACUCACUAGAACUUUACUGGGAGAUCUAAGACUCAGACUGAGGAGAAAUUCCCCACGACAGGGUCUGGGUGUUACAAACAUGCUCUGUCCAGUUCCUCCCAAAGCUUAUCUGGACUAGCCUCAUGGUGUGAAUUUGGCCCAUAGUCCACAUGUGGUAGAGGGGUUGUGAGCACAGCUCUCAGUCCUGGGCCAAUCUAGGCAGGUUACUUUUUCAUGUCACCAAGACACAGCUCUCCAUGUCUUGAUGUAGAUGGGUCACAGGUAACAAGUCCUGCAUCUUCAUCCCCCAUUUCACACAGUGAUCAGGCUGAGUCUUCCGAUCAACAACAAAUGUAGAUUUCUACACCGAGUCCUUGCUACGCACCCAUACUCCCAGGCACCAAGGGCCAGUUUAUUUUGAGGCUCAGCUUCUUUUCAUGCCAGCUCAGCAACAGGUUAAAACUGAUCCACAAUACUUACUUGGUAGUCUAGUUACUCAGCUGGGAAGAGUGCUUCUACAUUCACAUGGUCAAGUUAGUCAUGCACUACCAUGUUCAUUAUUUAAUUUGAGAGCCAAGUUUGUUCAUAAGCUGAAAAUAAUUUCCAUGAAAAUUUGGCAGCAAUUAUAUCAGUUGAAAUCUCAGAGAAAUAAUCAGAGAAUUCCCACAUAGGACAGGCCAUGUGCUUCCUCACUGAAGAAAUGAGGUGACACAGUGGUCUGAGGAAUGACGGUGAGGAUGAGCCUGUAAUCUAGGGGUCAUACCAGGGCUUCGCGCAUUCUAGGCAGACUACCACUGACCUACAUCCCAUCCUAGGAGGAAGGUCCUGAAAUAAACAUGUCUCCCUUUCUUUGCUUGUAAGAACUGAGUAAGCAGAAUGCUACUGUUGGGGGUGUAAAGACUAGACUACAGAAAAUACGCCAGACAAUCACCUGGAUACAAAGAAUAUCCCUCUGUAAAUUUCAAUUUUCUGCUACAGAGUCCCAUCCAAUUCUAAAUUCAUGUUUCCAUGCGAUACAGCACUAUAUAUCUUGACCUCUGUAUCUGUGGGUCUUGCAUAGAAAGGUUCAACAAACUGUGGAUUGAAAAUACUUGAAACACUAAAUCUGUAAUGAACGUGUAGAGACUUUCCUUUCUUGUUCUUAUUCCCUGAGCAAUAAAGUAAAACUGAUGUUCGUAAAGCA